rnacentral:rRNA from 1 species
GUCAAGUCAUCAUGGCCCUUAUGUCCAGGGCUACACACGUGCUACAAUGGACGGUACAGAGCGGAGCGAAGUUGCGAAACAUAAGCGAAUCGCUAAAAGCCGUCCGUAGUUCGGAUUGAAGUCUGAAACCCGACUUCAUGAAGUUGGAAUCGCUAGUAAUCGCGCAUCAGCAUGGCGCGGUGAAUACGUUCCCGGGCCUU